UACGGAGGAUCCAAGCGUUAUCCGGAUUUAUUGGGUUUAAAGGGUGCGUAGGCGGAAUUGUAAGUCAGUGGUGAAAGCCUGCAGCUUAACUGCAGAAUUGCCAUUGAUACUGCAAAUCUUGAGUACAUUUGAAGUGGGCGGAAUGUGUCAUGUAGCGGUGAAAUGCAUAGAUAUGACACAGAACACCGAUUGCGAAGGCAGCUCACUAAACUGUAACUGACGCUGAGGCACGAAAGCGUGGGGAUCGAACAGG
rnacentral:ncRNA from 2 species